rnacentral:tRNA from 1 species
GAGGGUAUAGUUCAGUGGUAGAGUGCAUGCUUAGCAUGCAGGAGGUGAUGGGUUCUAUCCCAGUACCUCCA